UCCACGCCGUAAACGAUGGGCACUAGCUGUCGGGCGUAAGCUCGGUGGCGGAGCUAACGCGUUAAGUGCCCCGCCUGGGGAGUACGGCCGCAAGGCUAAAAACUCAAAGGAAUUGACGGGACCCGGCACAAGCGGUGGAGGCAUGUGGUUUAAUUUCGAAGCAACGCGCAGAACCUUACCUGGGCGUUG
rnacentral:rRNA from 1 species